GUACCAUUAAAGGUUUAAGGCAAUCCAGUGGUGCACGAAUUGACGUUGAUGAUAAAAAGGAUGAUAAUGACUAUUGUAUUAUCGCUAUCACAUCUACAGAGUCCAGUGAAGAUGCGAAAUCUGCUGCACUUGAAGCAGUUUUGCUACUUCAAGGGAAGAUAAAUGAGGAGGAAGAUGAUAAUGUCAGUUUUCGCCUUCUUGUUCCUACAAAGUCCAUUGGCU
rnacentral:misc_RNA from 1 species